rnacentral:rRNA from 1 species
AUGAAACUUUGUUAUAUGGGUCAUCGUCGUUGGUUACCACAGGGUCAUGUAUUUCGAAACCGAAGAAGGCGGGAAUUUGAUGGCACUAAAGAGACAGAAUUGGCACCGACAACUAUGAGUGGUAGUUCAGCUUUGAAAAUGUUGCAAGGCAGAGUGUUUGUGUUAGGCAAAAAAGGCAAUGUAGCAAAGAAAGCAAAGGGUGGAAAGAAGGUCAAAAACAGUGAAAAAGAAAAUGAAAAGAAUCAAGAACCGAAGCAUAAAAGGAAGGAAGGCAACAAGAAGUCAAUUAAGAACCAAGGUAAGCCUGAGAAGAAGCCUGAGGAUUGGUUCAAAAAAUCAAUAUUUUUCAACUUGCCAUAUUGGGAACUUAACAAGUUAAGGCACAAUCUCGAUGUAAUGCACAUAGAAAAGAAUGUGUUUGAUAAUUUAAUUGGAACAUUGUUGGAUAUUGAUUCUAAAACAAAGGAUGGCCUUAAUGCAUGGCUUGAUUUGGCAGAAAUUGGUGAAAAUGGAAUUCGACGUAAUCUUCAUCCUACUAUAGAUGAUAAUGGAAAAGUAGUAUUGCCUGAUGCACCAUUGACUAUGUCUCCAAAAAAGCAAGAAAUACUUUGUUUAGUGAUGCACAAUAUUAGGACCUCCGAUGGAUAUGCAUCAAAUUUUUCUAGGCAUGUCAACAUGAAAGAUUGUACAAUCUCAGGUCUCAAAAGUCAUGAUUGUCAUGUUAUUCUGGAAGAUAUUCUUCCUCUAGCACUUCGAUCCUGUUACCCACACAAAGAGGUCAUGGAAAUAGUUAUCUGGCUGUCUAAUUUCUUCAAGAAACUAUGCUCGAAAGUGUUAUAUGUCUCUGAGCUUGACGAACUUCAAGAGAGUAUUGUGAUGACACUUUGCAAUAUGGAGAGAAUUUUUCUUCCAUCAUUCUUUACUAUCAUGGUGCAUCUAAUGGUGCACUUAGUUGAAGAAGUUACACUUGGUGGUCCAGUGCACUAUCGGUGGAUGUACCCCCUAGAGAGAUAUGGCACUUUAACUUUGAUUUUAUUUAAUCUUCAAUAG